rnacentral:lncRNA from 1 species
AAAUGCAGUAAUGAUGAGCUAAUGGCAACUGUGCUAAAGUUUCAUUGGGCAUUUUAUGCUAAUGUUUAGCAUUCUCACUUUUCUGAGCCACCCGGUUUAUAUAUAGAGUAUAUGUGUUAAUGCAGGUUAUUGGAAAAGACAUCCUAGCACUUUAAAGAUAAUGAUAUCAAUGUAUGUUCUGUUAAUAAAACAAAUGAGGACAACACGCACUCUAUGUGGUUUAAGUUAAUGGAUAGAACUAUACCAUUGUUGGGUACAAAUUUCCAAAUAUUGUGUUGAUAAAUUAAAAUGAAG